CCUACGGGAGGCAGCAGUGAGGAAUAUUGGUCAAUGGUCGGGAGACUGAACCAGCCAAGCCGCGUGAGGGAUGAAGGUACAGAGUAUCGUAAACCUCUUUUGUCAGGGCACAAAGGCGGGGACGUGUCCCCGGAUGAGUGUACCUGAAGAAAAAGCAUCGGCUAACUCCGUGCCAGCAGCCGCGGUAAUACGGAGGAUGCGAGCGUUAUCCGGAUUUAUUGGGUUUAAGGGGUGCGCAGGCGGUCUGUUAAGUCAGCGGUAAAAGCCCGGGGCCCAACCCCGGCCCGCCGUUGAAACUGGCAGUCUCGAGUUGGAGAGAAGUAUGCGGAAUGCGCGGUGUAGCGGUGAAAUGCAUAGAUAUCGCGCAGAACUCCGAUUGCGAAGGCAGCAUGCCGGCUCCACACUGACGCUGAGGCACGAAAGCGUGGGUAUCGAACAGGAUUAGAUACCCGAGUAGUC
rnacentral:rRNA from 1 species